rnacentral:tRNA from 2 species
GCCCCUAUAGCUCAGUUGGUAGAGCAAUUGAUUUGUAAUCAAUAGGUCAGCUGUUCGAGUCAGCUUGGGGGCACCA